rnacentral:rRNA from 1 species
UACGUAGGGGGCGAGCGUUGUCCGGAUUCAUUGGGCGUAAAGCGCGCGUAGGCGGCUCGACAAGUCGGCCGUGAAAUCUCCAGGCUCAACUUGGAGGGGUCGGCGAGACUGUCGGGCUCGAGGUGGGCAGAGGGCAGUGGAAUUCCGGGUGUAGUGGUGGAAUGCGUAGAGAUCCGGAGGAACACCAGUGGCGAAGGCGGCUGCCUGGGCCUGGCCUGACGCUGAGGUGCGAAAGCGUGGGGAGCAAACAGG